CUACGUGCCAGCAGCCGCGGUAAUACGGGGGGUGCGAGCGUUAAUCGGAAUAACUGGGCGUAAAGGGCACGCAGGCGGUGACUUAAGUGAGAUGUGAAAGCCCCGAGCUUAACUUGGGAAUUGCAUUUCAUACUGGGUCGCUAGAGUACUUUAGGGAGGGGUAGAAUUCCACGUGUAGCGGUGAAAUGCGUAGAGAUGUGGAGGAAUACCGAAGGCGAAGGCAGCCCCUUGGGAAUGUACUGACGCUCAUGUGCGAAAGCGUGGGGAGCAAACAGGAUUAGAUACCCUGGUAGUCCACGCUGUAAACGAUGUCGAUUUGGGGAUUGGGCUUUGAGCUUGGUGCCCGUAGCUAACGUGAUAAAUCGACCGCCUGGGGAGUACGGCCGCAAGGUUAAAACUCAAAUGAAUUGACGGGGGCCCGCACAAGCGGUGGAGCAUGUGGUUUAAUUCGAUGCAACGCGAAGAACCUUACCUACUCUUGACAUCCAUGGAAUCUUGUAGAGAUACGAGAGUGC
rnacentral:rRNA from 1 species